rnacentral:rRNA from 1 species
GACGAACGCUGGCGGCGUGCUUAACACAUGCAAGUCGAACGAAGUGGCGAACGGGUGAGUAAUGCGUAAUCAACCUGCCCUUCAGAGGGGGACAACAGGUGGAAACGACUGCUAAUACCGCAUACGGAAGGAGGGGUUUGCGUCUGAUUAGCUAGUUGGAGGGGCAACGGCCCACCAAGGCGAAGAGCAGUAGCCGGUCUGGGAGGGUGAACGGCCACAUUUGGACUGAGACACGGCCCAGACUCCUACGGGAGGCAGCCGGGGGGAAUCUUCCGCAAUGGAGGAAAGUCUGACGGAGCAACGCCGGGGGGGUGGUGACAGCCUUCGGGUUGUAAAGCUCUGUUAAUCGGGACGCGGUACCGAAAUAGAAAGCCACGGCUAACUACGUGCCAGCAGCCGCGGUAAUAC